rnacentral:rRNA from 1 species
UACGGGAGGCAGCAGUGAGGAAUAUUGGUCAAUGGACGAGAGUCUGAACCAGCCAAGUAGCGUGCAGGAUGACGGCCCUAUGGGUUGUAAACUGCUUUUAUAAGGGAAUAAAGUUAGUCUCGUGAGACUUUUUGCAUGUACCUUAUGAAUAAGGACCGGCUAAUUCCGUGCCAGCAGCCGCGGUAAUACGGAAGGUCCGGGCGUUAUCCGGAUUUAUUGGGUUUAAAGGGAGCGUAGGCCGGAGAUUAAGCGUGUUGUGAAAUGUAGACGCUCAACGUCUGCACUGCAGCGCGAACUGGUUUCCUUGAGUACGCACAGAGUGGGCGGAAUUCGUGGUGUAGCGGUGAAAUGCUUAGAUAUCACGAAGAACUCCGAUUGCGAAGGCAGCUCACUGGAGCGCAACUGACGCUGAAGCUCGAAA